ACUGCGUACCUUUUGUAUAAUGGGUCAGCGACUUAUAUUCUGUAGCAAGGUUAACCGAAUAGGGGAGCCGGAGGGAAACCGAGUCUUAAUUGGGCGUUAAGUUGCAGGGUAUAGACCCGAAACCCGGUGAUCUAGCCAUGGGCAGGUUGAAGGUUGGGUAACACUAACUGGAGGACCGAACCGACUAAUGUUGAAAAAUUAGCGGAUGACCUGUGGCUGGGGGUGAAAGGCCAAUCAAACCGGGAGAUAGCUGGUUCUCCCCGAAAGCUAUUUAGGUAGCGCCUCGUGAAUUCAUCUCCGGGGGUAGAGCACUGUUUCGGCUAGGGGGCCAUCCCGGCUUACCAACCCGAUGCAAACUGCGAAUACCGGAGAAUGUUAUCACGGGAGACACACGGCGGGUGCUAACGUCCGUCGUGAAGAGGGAAACAACCCAGACCGCCAGCUAAGGUCCCAAAGUCAUGGUUAAGUGGGAAACGAUGUGGGAAGGCCCAGACAGCCAGGAUGUUGGCUUAGAAGCAGCCAUCAUUUAAAGAAAGCGUAAUAGCUCACUGGUCGAGUCGGCCUGCGCGGAAGAUGUAACGGGGCUAAACCAUGCACCGAAGCUGCGGCAGCGAACGUAUCACCCAAGACAACUUUACGGAGUUGACGAUUGACGGAGCGAAGCGACGUCAAAGCGUUCAUUAAAGUCGAGUUGGCUUAGGGAUACGUUCGUUGGGUAGGGGAGCGUUCUGUAAGCCUGUGAAGGUGUGUCGUGAGGCAUGCUGGAGGUAUCAGAAGUGCGAAUGCUGACAUAAGUAACGAUAAAGCGGGUGAAAAGCCCGCUCGCCGGAAGACCAAGGGUUCCUGUCCAACGUUAAUCGGGGCAGGGUGAGUCGACCCCUAAGGCGAGGCCGAAAGGCGUAGUCGAUGGGAAACGGGUUAAUAUUCCCGUACUUGGUGUUACUGCGAAGGGGGGACGGAGAAGGCUAUGUUGGCCGGGCGACGGUUGUCCCGGUUUAAGCGUGUAGGUGUGUGUUCCAGGUAAAUCCGGUUCACUUUAACACUGAGGCGUGACGACGAGGCACUACGGUGCUGAAGCAACAAAUGCCCUGCUUCCAGGAAAAGCCUCUAAGCAUCAGGUAACACGAAAUCGUACCCCAAACCGACACAGGUGGUCAGGUAGAGAAUACCAAGGCGCUUGAGAGAACUCGGGUGAAGGAACUAGGCAAAAUGGUGCCGUAACUUCGGGAGAAGGCACGCUGACACGUAGGUGAAGUGAUUUACUCAUGGAGCUGAAGUCAGUCGAAGAUACCAGCUGGCUGCAACUGUUUAUUAAAAACACAGCACUGUGCAAACACGAAAGUGGACGUAUACGGUGUGACGCCUGCCCGGUGCCGGAAGGUUAAUUGAUGGGGUCAGCGCAAGCGAAGCUCCUGAUCGAAGCCCCGGUAAACGGCGGCCGUAACUAUAACGGUCCUAAGGUAGCGAAAUUCCUUGUCGGGUAAGUUCCGACCUGCACGAAUGGCGUAAUGAUGGCCAGGCUGUCUCCACCCGAGACUCAGUGAAAUUGAACUCGCUGUGAAGAUGCAGUGUACCCGCGGCAAGACGGAAAGACCCCGUGAACCUUUACUAUAGCUUGACACUGAACAUUGAGCCUUGAUGUGUAGGAUAGGUGGGAGGCUUUGAAGUGUGGACGCCAGUCUGCAUGGAGCCGACCUUGAAAUACCACCCUUUAAUGUUUGAUGUUCUAACGUGGACCCGUAAUCCGGGUUGCGGACAGUGUCUGGUGGGUAGUUUGACUGGGGCGGUCUCCUCCUAAAGAGUAACGGAGGAGCACGAAGGUUGGCUAAUCCUGGUCGGACAUCAGGAGGUUAGUGCAAUGGCAUAAGCCAGCUUGACUGCGAGCGUGACGGCGCGAGCAGGUGCGAAAGCAGGUCAUAGUGAUCCGGUGGUUCUGAAUGGAAGGGCCAUCGCUCAACGGAUAAAAGGUACUCCGGGGAUAACAGGCUGAUACCGCCCAAGAGUUCAUAUCGACGGCGGUGUUUGGCACCUCGAUGUCGGCUCAUCACAUCCUGGGGCUGAAGUAGGUCCCAAGGGUAUGGCUGUUCGCCAUUUAAAGUGGUACGCGAGCUGGGUUUAGAACGUCGUGAGACAGUUCGGUCCCUAUCUGCCGUGGGCGCUGGAGAACUGAGGGGGGCUGCUCCUAGUACGAGAGGACCGGAGUGGACGCAUCACUGGUGUUCGGGUUGUCAUGCCAAUGGCACUGCCCGGUAGCUAAAUGCGGAAGAGAUAAGUGCUGAAAGCAUCUAAGCACGAAACUUGCCCCGAGAUGAGUUCUCCCUGAGACUUAGAGUCUCCUGAAGGAACGUUGAAGACGACGACGUUGAUAGGCCGGGUGUGUAAGCGCAGCGAUGCGUUGAGCUAACCGGUACUAAUGAACCGUGAGGCUUAACCUUACA
rnacentral:rRNA from 1 species